rnacentral:rRNA from 1 species
GGGUUGUGAGGUUAAGCGACUAAGCGUACACGGUGGAUGCCCUGGCAGUCAGAGGCGAUGAAGGGCGUGCUAAUCUGCGAUAAGCGCCGGUAAGGUGAUAUGAACCGUUAUAACCGGCGAUACCCGAAUGGGGAAACCCAGUGUGACUCGUCACACUAUCAUUAACUGAAUCCAUAGGUUAAUGAGGCGAACCGGGGGAACUGAAACAUCUAAGUACCCCGAGGAAAAGAAAUCAACCGAGAUUCCCCCAGUAGCGGCGAGCGAACGGGGAGGAGCCCAGAGCCUGAAUCAGCAUGUGUGUUAGUGGAAGCGUCUGGAAAGGCGCGCGAUACAGGGUGACAGCCCCGUACACAAAAGCGCAUGUGCUGUGAGCUCGAUGAGUAGGGCGGGACACGUGGUAUCCUGUCUGAAUAUGGGGGGACCAUCCUCCAAGGCUAAAUACUCCUGACUGACCGAUAGUGAACCAGUACCGUGAGGGAAAGGCGAAAAGAACCCCGGCGAGGGGAGUGAAAAAGAACCUGAAACCGUGUACGUACAAGCAGUGGGAGCACAGGUUUACCUGUGUGACUGCGUACCUUUUGUAUAAUGGGUCAGCGACUUAUAUUCUGUAGCAAGGUUAACCGAAUAGGGGAGCCGGAGGGAAACCGAGUCUUAAUUGGGCGUUAAGUUGCAGGGUAUAGACCCGAAACCC